GACGAACGCUGGCGGCGUGCCUAAUACAUGCAAGUAGAACGCAGUUGCGAACGGGUGAGUAACGCGUAGGUAACUGCCUGGUAGCGGGGGAUAACUAUUGGACACGAAAGCUAAUACCGCAUAAUACAAGAUGGACCUGCUUUUUAUUAGCUAGUUGGUGAGGUAACGGCUCACCAAGGCAACGAUACAUCGCCGACCUGGGAGGGUGAUGGGCCACAACGUGACUUGGACACGGGCCAGGAUCCUUCGGGGGGCAGCAGUAGGGAAUCAUCGGGAAUGGGGGGAACCCUGACCGAGCAACGCCGCGUGAGUGAAGAAGGUUUUCGGAUCGUAAAGCUCUGGUGUUAAGGAAGCGGUACUUAACCAGAAAGGGACGGCUAACUACGUGCCAGCAGCCGCGGUAAUUC
rnacentral:rRNA from 1 species